CCUGAUGACAGGGCUGCGUAUCU
rnacentral:siRNA from 1 species